rnacentral:rRNA from 1 species
UUGCUUGGGAACAUGCCUUGAGGUGGGGGACAACAGUUGGAAACGACUGCUAAUACCGCAUAAUGUCUACGGACCAAAGGGGGCUUCGGCUCUCGCCUUUAGAUUGGCCCAAGUGGGAUUAGCUAGUUGGUGAGGUAAUGGCUCACCAAGGCGACGAUCCCUAGCUGGUUUGAGAGGAUGAUCAGCCACACUGGGACUGAGACACGGCCCAGACUCCUACGGGAGGCAGCAGUGGGGAAUAUUGCACAAUGGGCGCAAGCCUGAUGCAGCCAUGCCGCGUGUGUGAAGAAGGCCUCGGUG